CAGAGCGAUGUUGGCCGCCACAUA
rnacentral:siRNA from 1 species